AGCGUACACGGUGGAUGCCCUGGCAGUCAGAGGCGAUGAAGGACGUGCUAAUCUGCGAUAAGCGCCGGUAAGGUGAUAUGAACCGUUAUAACCGGCGAUUUCCGAAUGGGGAAACCCAGUGUGAUUCGUCACACUAUCAUUAACUGAAUCCAUAGGUUAAUGAAGCGAACCGGGGGAACUGAAACAUCUAAGUACCCCGAGGAAAAGAAAUCAACCGAGAUUCCCCCAGUAGCGGCGAGCGAACGGGGAGGAGCCCAGAGCCUGAAUCAGCAUGUGUGUUAGUGGAAGCGUCUGGAAAGGCGCGCGAUACAGGGUGACAGCCCCGUACACAAAAGCGCAUGUGCUGUGAGCUCGAUGAGUAGGGCGGGACACGUGGUAUCCUGUCUGAAUAUGGGGGGACCAUCCUCCAAGGCUAAAUACUCCUGACUGACCGAUAGUGAACCAGUACCGUGAGGGAAAGGCGAAAAGAACCCCGGCGAGGGGAGUGAAACAGAACCUGAAACCGUGUACGUACAAGCAGUGGGAGCACAGGUUUACCUGUGUGACUGCGUACCUUUUGUAUAAUGGGUCAGCGACUUAUAUUCUGUAGCAAGGUUAACCGCAUAGGGGAGCCGAAGGGAAACCGAGUCUUAAUUGGGCGUUAAGUUGCAGGGUAUAGACCCGAAACCCGGUGAUCUAGCCAUGGGCAGGUUGAAGGUUGGGUAACACUAACUGGAGGACCGAACCGACUAAUGUUGAAAAAUUAGCGGAUGACCUGUGGCUGGGGGUGAAAGGCCAAUCAAACCGGGAGAUAGCUGGUUCUCCCCGAAAGCUAUUUAGGUAGCGCCUCGUGAACUCAUCUCCGGGGGUAGAGCACUGUUUCGGCUAGGGGGCCAUCCCGGCUUACCAACCCGAUGCAAACUGCGAAUACCGGAGAAUGUUAUCACGGGAGACACACGGCGGGUGCUAACGUCCGUCGUGAAGAGGGAAACAACCCAGACCGCCAGCUAAGGUCCCAAAGUCAUGGUUAAGUGGGAAACGAUGUGGGAAGGCCCAGACAGCCAGGAUGUUGGCUUAGAAGCAGCCAUCAUUUAAAGAAAGCGUAAUAGCUCACUGGUCGAGUCGGCCUGCGCGGAAGAUGUAACGGGGCUAAACCAUGCACCGAAGCUGCGGCAGCGAACGUAUCACUUAAAACGAUUCAGAAGCUUACGAUUGACGGAGCGAAGCGACGUCAAAGCGUAUACAAAGUCGAGUCGGUUUAAGGAUACGUUCGUUGGGUAGGGGAGCGUUCUGUAAGCCGUUGAAGGUGGCCUGUGAGGGUUGCUGGAGGUAUCAGAAGUGCGAAUGCUGACAUAAGUAACGAUAAAGCGGGUGAAAAGCCCGCUCGCCGGAAGACCAAGGGUUCCUGUCCAACGUUAAUCGGGGCAGGGUGAGUCGACCCCUAAGGCGAGGCCGAAAGGCGUAGUCGAUGGGAAACGGGUUAAUAUUCCCGUACUUGGUGUUACUGCGAAGGGGGGACGGAGAAGGCUAUGUUGGCCGGGCGACGGUUGUCCCGGUUUAAGCGUGUAGGCUGACUUUCCAGGCAAAUCCGGAGAGUCAAGGCUGAGGCGUGACGACGAGGCACCACGGUGCUGAAGCAACAAAUGCCCUGCUUCCAGGAAAAGCCUCUAAGCAUCAGGUAACAUCAAAUCGUACCCCAAACCGACACAGGUGGUCAGGUAGAGAAUACCAAGGCGCUUGAGAGAACUCGGGUGAAGGAACUAGGCAAAAUGGUGCCGUAACUUCGGGAGAAGGCACGCUGACAUGUAGGUGAAGUGGUUUACCCAUGGAGCUGAAGUCAGUCGAAGAUACCAGCUGGCUGCAACUGUUUAUUAAAAACACAGCACUGUGCAAACACGAAAGUGGACGUAUACGGUGUGACGCCUGCCCGGUGCCGGAAGGUUAAUUGAUGGGGUCAGCGCAAGCGAAGCUCCUGAUCGAAGCCCCGGUAAACGGCGGCCGUAACUAUAACGGUCCUAAGGUAGCGAAAUUCCUUGUCGGGUAAGUUCCGACCUGCACGAAUGGCGUAAUGAUGGCCAGGCUGUCUCCACCCGAGACUCAGUGAAAUUGAACUCGCUGUGAAGAUGCAGUGUACCCGCGGCAAGACGGAAAGACCCCGUGAACCUUUACUAUAGCUUGACACUGAACAUUGAGCCUUGAUGUGUAGGAUAGGUGGGAGGCUUUGAAGCGUGGACGCCAGUCUGCGUGGAGCCGGCCUUGAAAUACCACCCUUUAAUGUUUGAUGUUCUAACGUGGACCCGUGAUCCGGGUUGCGGACAGUGUCUGGUGGGUAGUUUGACUGGGGCGGUCUCCUCCUAAAGAGUAACGGAGGAGCACGAAGGUUGGCUAAUCCUGGUCGGACAUCAGGAGGUUAGUGCAAUGGCAUAAGCCAGCUUGACUGCGAGCGUGACGGCGCGAGCAGGUGCGAAAGCAGGUCAUAGUGAUCCGGUGGUUCUGAAUGGAAGGGCCAUCGCUCAACGGAUAAAAGGUACUCCGGGGAUAACAGGCUGAUACCGCCCAAGAGUUCAUAUCGACGGCGGUGUUUGGCACCUCGAUGUCGGCUCAUCACAUCCUGGGGCUGAAGUAGGUCCCAAGGGUAUGGCUGUUCGCCAUUUAAAGUGGUACGCGAGCUGGGUUUAGAACGUCGUGAGACAGUUCGGUCCCUAUCUGCCGUGGGCGCUGGAGAACUGAGGGGGGCUGCUCCUAGUACGAGAGGACCGGAGUGGACGCAUCACUGGUGUUCGGGUUGUCAUGCCAAUGGCACUGCCCGGUAGCUAAAUGCGGAAGAGAUAAGUGCUGAAAGCAUCUAAGCACGAAACUUGCCCCGAGAUGAGUUCU
rnacentral:rRNA from 1 species